rnacentral:rRNA from 1 species
AGCGGGGAACGGGUGAGUAACGCGUGGGUGACCUGCCCUCUGUUCUGGGAUAAGCCUGGGAAACUGGGUCUAAUACUGGAUAUGACCUCAUGACGCAUGUUGGGGGGUGGAAAGCCUUGUGCGGCUGGGGAUGGGCCCGCGGCCUAUCAUCUUGUUGGGGGGGUGAUGGCCUACCAAGGCAACGACGGGUACCCGGCCUGAGAGGGCGACCGGCCACACUGGGACUGAGACCCGGCCCACACUCCUACGGGAGGCAGCAGUGGGUAAUCUUGCGCAAUGGGCGAAAGCCUGACCCACCGACCCCGCGUGAGGGAUGACCGCCUUCGGGUUGUAACCCUCUUUCACCUCCAACAAAGCGUAAGUGACGGUAGGGAAAAAAAAAGCAACCGGCCAACUACGUGCCAGCAGCCGCGGUAAUACGUAGGGUGCAAGCGUUGUCCGAAAUUAUUGGGCGUAAAGAGCUCGGAGGCGGUCUGUCGCGUCGGCUGUAAAAACUCGGGGCUCAACUCCGAGCUUGCAGUCGAUACGGGCAGGUUAGAGUUCGGCAGGGGAGACUGGAAUUCCUGGUGUAGCGGUGAAAUGCGCAGAUAUCAGGAGGAACACCGGUGGCGAAGGCGGGUCUCUGGGCCGAUACUGACUCUGAGGAGCGAAAGCGUGGGGAGCGAACAGGAUUAGAUACCCUGGUAGUCCACGCCGUAAACGUUGGGCGCUAGGUGUGGGAUCCCUUCCACGGGUUCCGUGCCGCAGCUAAGGCAUUAAGCGCCCCGCCUGGGGAGUACGGCCGCAAGGCUAAAACUCAAAGGAAUUGACGGGGAGCCCGCACAAGCGGCGGAGCAUGUGGAUUAAUUCGAUGCAACGCGAAGAACCUUACCUGGGUUUGACAUACACUGGAAAGCCGUGGAGACAUGGCCUCCGCAAGGCCGGUGUACAGGUGGUGCAUGGCUGUCGUCAGCUCGUGUCGUGAGAUGUUGGGUUAAGUCCCGCAACGAGCGCAACCCUUGUCUCAUGUUGCCAGCGGGUUAUGCCGGGGACU